GGGAAGUUGGCUCAGUGGUAGAGCACUUGCCUUGUAUGCAUGAGGCCCUGGGUUCAAUUCCUUGGCACCACA
rnacentral:tRNA from 1 species